GAUGAACGCUGGCGGCGUGCUUAAUACAUGCAAGUCGAACGGAGCUGAUGAGAAGCUUGCUUUUUGUCAGCUUAGUGGCGGACGGGUGAGUAACGCGUGGGUAACCUGCCUCAUACAGGGGGAUAACAGUUAGAAAUGACUGCUAACACCGCAUAACAUCGAUCAACCGCAUGAUAGAUCGGUCAAAUAUUUAUAGGUAUGAGAUGGGCCCGCGUCUGAUUAGCUAGUUGGUGAGGUAAAGGCCCACCAAGGCGACGAUCAGUAGCCGUACUGAGAGGUAGAACGGCCACAUUGGGACUGAGACACGGCCCAAACUCC
rnacentral:rRNA from 1 species